rnacentral:lncRNA from 1 species
AAAGGAAGUGGCAGAAAAGCUAAAUCUUAAAGCAAAGUCAUACUGGAAAGAGUCCUGCAUAUGCCAAAAUAUCUUCCAUGGAGGGUUACUAGAAGAAAUGUGCCUGGAGAGGAACCAUGGCGGGGGGAAAUGGAAGAAAUAAAGGUGGCUUACAAAGGCUGCGUGUGCUGUCAGAGAUCUGGAAGAGCUAAAUCUGCCAGCAGUUAAGGGAGGCAAUGAGUUAUUCAGAAAAGAGCCCUGGGCCUGCAGGCAGUGGAUAUGGGUUCGAGGCCAGCCUUUGACAUCAAUAAGCUGAAAGAUCUUGGAGUCACCUAAUCUCUUGAGAACUUAUUUUUCCCACUUGUAAAAUGAGAGGAUUGAAUUAUAUGAUGUGCGAUGGAUUUACCAACUUCAAAAAGUUAUGAUUGUAGAGUCUAAUUAUAUUUCGAGCCUUAUUAGAAAGCUAUCACGGAUACGGGAACAACUCCAGUGGACCCGCCAAAGCAGGAAAAGUCCAAGGAGGAAUGCUGGCACUUAACGCCUAACCCUAAACAUCAAAAUUGGCAGCAAUAGUAUUAACCUGCUAAUUUAUUUUGUACUUCUCUUCCUUGCAAUUAAAUCAGGUGAGGAAUAAAAGGAAGAUUCUGAGGCAAUAAAGAGAUCAAAGAAAAAAAUUGGAAGCAAAAGAUUCUUCUAAAUUUUCUUACUCCUCAAUUAGAGGUUAUAUCUGCAGGACUGCUUUGAUACUAGAUUACGGAUUCGAAGAAAUAAACCAAUAACAUCAUAUUGUUUGAGGCAACUGAACCAUGUUUCCCUCCCACACUUUCUGGUCACCUUAAGUCCAGGACAACUUUAUUCUCUCCAUUCAAAUGAUGAUCAUCUGCCUCUCUGACCUUAACAUACAACAACAAAGAGAGAGCACUGCUGUUGAGACCAACCCAAUUAUCUGUCACUGUUUUCUUUACAUGUAUCACAGAGACCCAGGAAUAGGUAUUCCAGAUCUCUAAAAAGACAAUGCCUCUGUCCUUCCAAAAUGUAUCGAAAUCCAAAAUUUUCAGUACAGGCAUUUUGGGUAUUGGUAGGGGCAGUUCUGCUCCCC